UGAAGCGAAAGUAAAAUUUCGUGGAGGUCCGAACCCACGAGCGUUGAAAAGCUCGGGGAUGACUUGUGGGUAGCGGUGAAAUUCCAAUCGAGCCCGGAGAUAGCUGGUUCUCCCCGAAAUAGCUUUAGGGCUAGCCUCAAGGUGAGAGAUACGGAGGUAGAGCACUGAAUGUCCUAGGGGGUAUUGCACCUACCGAAGACUAUCAAACUCCGAAUGCCGUCAUCUUAUACUUGGGAGUCAGACUGUGGGUGAUAAGAUUCAUAGUCGAAAGGGCAACAGCCCAGAUCGUCAGCUAAGGUCCCUAAAUGUAAGUUAAGUGGUAAAGGAUGUGGGAUUGCACAGACAACCAGGAUGUUGGCUUAGAAGCAGCCACUCAUUCAAAGAGUGCGUAAUAGCUCACUGGUCGAGUGAUCCUGCGCCGAAGAUUUCCGGGGCUAAAACUUACUACCGAAGCUACGGCAUCAGUAAUGAUGGGUAGGGGAGCUUCCCAUACGGGUUGAAGCAUGACCGUAAGGACAUGUGGACAGUAUGGGAGUGAGAAUGUUGGCAUGAGUAGCGAGAUGUGGGUGAGAAUCCCACAGGCCGUAAACCCAAGGUUUCCAGGGGAAGGUUCGUCCGCCCUGGGUUAGUCGGGACCUAAGCUGAGGCCGAAAGGCGUAGGUGAUGGACAACAGGUUGAUAUUCCUGUACUACCGAUAACCGUUUGAGAGAAGGGAUGACACAGUAGGAUAAGCUAAGCACACUGUUGGUUAUGUGUGCCCAAGCAUUGAGGCAGUCAAAGUAGGCAAAUCCGCUUUGAUAAUGCUGGGAUGUGAUGGGGAGCGAAAUUUAGUAGCGAAGUAGCUGAUUUCACACUGUCAAGAAAAGUCUCUAUCGAGGUUAAAGGUACCCGUACCGCAAACCGACACAGGUGGGUGAGGAGAGUAUCCUAAGGCCAGCGAGAGAACUGUUGUUAAGGAACUCGGCAAAAUGACCCCGUAACUUAGGGAUAAGGGGUGCCACCAUCAGGUGGCCGCAGAGAAUAGGCCCAAGCGACUGUUUACCAAAAACAUAGGUUUCUGCUAAGUCGCAAGACGAUGUAUAGGAGCUGACGCCUGCCCGGUGCUGGAAGGUUAAGGGGAUCUGUUAGAG
rnacentral:rRNA from 1 species